AAAAUGGCAGCGAGAAACCAACCUGGAAGAAAUCAAACAAAAGACCUUAAGUGUGCAACACAUUUGUUAAAUGAUAAAUUCAGAAACAUGAGUGAGGAGAAGAAAACGAUUGUGAGGGAUUUGGGAUUCGGUGGCUUGAUGCACAUCCCACCACUAAGGGUGCAUCACCAAGUGUUAAGGGAGCUGGCUAACAACUUCAAAUUAGGGGAGAACAGACUGGAAACCGGAUACGGUUCUUUUAAAAUAACACCAA